rnacentral:rRNA from 1 species
UUAUGUGAUCGUCUCUCGCAUAUCAAUAAGCGGAGGAAAAGAAACUAACAAGGAUUCCCCUAGUAACGGCGAGUGAAGCGGGAAGAGCUCAAAUUUGAAAUCUUAAAGGGUUUCCCUUUACGAAUUGUAGUUUAAAGAAGUGUUUUCUGUUGAGGUUUUGGUAAAAGUUCUUUGGAAUAGGACAUCAUAGAGGGUGAGAAUCCCGUAUUUGACCUUUACUUUCAACUUUGUGAUACACUUUCAAAGAGUCGGAUUUGUUCGGGAAUGCAGUCCAAAAUGGGUGGUAAAUUUCAUCUAAAGCUAAAUAUUGGCGAGAGACCGAUAGCGAACAAGUACCGUGAGGGAAAGAUGAAAAGAACUUUGAAAAGAGAGUUAAACAGUACGUGAAAUUGUCAAAAGGGAAGCGUUUGACACCAGUGUUGUUUUUCUGAAAAUCAAUUAAAGAACUGUUUAUGCUAAGUUGUUUAGACUUUAUCAGCUAAUCUGCUUUAGUUUUGAGCUUUUCUUUAAUGCACUUUUCAGUUAACAAGUCAACAUCAAUUUCUUUUGCUGUAAAAAAGCUUGAGGAAGGUGGCUUGAGAUUCGUCUUAAGUGUUUAUAGCCUCUUGCCUAUGCAGUCGGAGAGAUUGAGGUCUGCAGCGUAGAUCCUUCGGGGCUAAAUGCAUUUGUGCUAAGUUAUAAGCAUUUUAUAGACAACUUGUUGGACUAUGAUUUGUCUUGUAGCUUACUCGCUUAUGUUAUUUUACCUACGCUUAGGAUGUUGAGUAGCGACAUACGCAC